CGGCGGACGGGUGAGUAAUGUAUGGGGGUCUGCCUGAUGGCGGGGGAUAACUACUGGAAACGGUAGCUAAUACCGCAUAAUGUCUACGGACCAAAGCGGGGGACCUCCGGGCCUCGCGCCAUCAGAUGAACCCAUAUGGGAUUAGCUAGUAGGUAAGGUAACGGCUUACCUAGGCGACGAUCCCUAGCUGGUCUGAGAGGAUGAUCAGCCACACUGGGACUGAGACACGGCCCAG
rnacentral:rRNA from 1 species